rnacentral:rRNA from 1 species
AACGAACGCUGGCGGCGGGGUUUAGGCAUGCAAGUCGAGGGAGAAAGCCCUUCGGGGCGAGUACACCGGCGAAAGGGUGAGUAAUGGCUAGUUAACGUACCCUCAGGACUGGGAUAAUUGGCCGAAAGGCCUUGUAAUACCGGGUGAGACCACGUGCCCCACGGGGCAUGGGGUCAAAGAAGGGGGCACCCUUCGGGGCCUCUUGCCUGAGGAGCGGACUAGCUCCGAUUAGCUUGUUGGCGGGGUAACGGCCCACCAAGGCUGUGAUCGGUAGCCGGCCUGAGAGGGUGUCCGGCCACACUGGGACUGAGACACUGCCCAGACUCCUACGGGAGGCUGCAGUCGCGAAUCAUUCGCAAUGGUCGCAAGCCUGACGAUGCUACGCCGCGUGCAGGAAG